CUAAUAAUCUUUUCAUAUAUCCCUUUGCAUGCUUCUCAAACACCUGCAUGUGCCUAAACCCUGACUCGCACACAUGCACAGAUCUGUGUCUCACGCUCAUCUGUCAGUGUGUCAUCAUGGAGAACUUCCGCCCCCUCUUUCCUGUCCAUCCGAGGGCAGAGUGAGAGUGUUAGAGUAAAGGGAAACUGAAGACGCCCAAGACUGAGGCGAAAGAGUGAUUCAAGUUGUUUUCUGGAAUAACAAAGAACAUUUUUAUUCCUAUUGAGUAUUUUGUAAAAUGCAAACUGUUUUUAGACUUACUGUUCUAGAUUUCCUUAGCUAAAAGUCAACUCACACUCCCCACUGAAGCACCGUACCUGUCUCCUUCUCUUUCAUCUGACAGAAAAAUAGAUUCAUUUCAAGGAGAAGCAACAGUUAUUCUUGAAUAUUUCACCAGCAGCUCGCCUGCCAAAUGCAACCACUUGGAA